CCUACGGGUGGCUGCAGUGGGGAAUAUUGCACAAUGGGGGAAACCCUAAUGCGGAAACGCCGCGUGAGCGAUGAAGGCCUCCGGGACGUAAAGCUUUGCCCUAAGGAAAGAAUCUUACCGGUACCUUAGGAGGAACCCCCGGCUAACUACGUGCCAGAAGCCGCGGUAAUACGAAGGGGGCUAGCGUAAUCCGGAAUUACUGGGCGUAAAGGGUGCGUAGGCGGCCCUUCAAGUCAGAGGUGAAAGGCUACGGCUCAACCGUAGUAAGCCUUUGAAACUGUAGGGCUUGAGUGCAGGAGAGGAGAGUGGAAUUCCCAGUGUAGCGGUGAAAUGCGUAGAUAUUGGGAGGAACACCAGUUGCGAAGGCGGCUCUCUGGACUGUAACUGACGCUGAGGCACGAAAGCGUGGGGAGCGAACAGGAUUAGAUACCCGUGUAGUC
rnacentral:rRNA from 1 species